rnacentral:lncRNA from 1 species
AAGGUGAGAAGAACUCUUAAAGGGGUCCAACUGGGCUGAACAAUCUGUAGCCAGAUCACCUAAACCUGCCCCUUGAAUGGUGGUAGGAAAGAGGGAAGAAGUGAACAAGGGGCAGCACAGGGGAACAUGAGCUCAUGCCCCAUUUUUGGAUGCCGUUGGAAAAGAAAGCCAAAUAGCAAGAGGGAGGGGAUGUAAAAUCUUGAUAAAAGAUCUCCAGCUGCAUGGUGCUUUUCAUCAACAAAUGGAUCUGAGGUGCAAUUAGUAAAUGUGAAAGGAUCUCUCAGGACAGCCACAAAAGGGGUUGCUAAGUUUGGAAGCUUCUCUAGGGGAAAAAGAAAUCCUUCCAUUCUCUAAACUAGCUUGAGUUGAUUUAUAUCACAGCAUCUCCAAGAGCAUAGAUCUUCUGCUACACGACAGGGCCAGGGCCAGGACACCACUUUCAGCUCCAGGCAAUUGCACUGAGGACUCAGUGACACA